UCACGAAUCUCCUACACACCCUGUCUCCAGGGCCAAUGUCCCCUCAGAACACAGACCCUCUCCUCCGCCCCCACCCACUCACUGAAGGGCCGUGAGCAGCUUGGCAGACUGUCCCUCAGUGUCACAGUACAAAAACCUCGGGCGUAGUGGUACAGGCAGGAGAAUCUUGCAUGUAGCAGCUUCUCAAUAAGUAUUUAUUGAUUUGUGAUGCAGUAAAGGUCUUAGCUCACCAUUUUCCUCUGGAGUUAGUCUGGGUCCUUCUAUUCCUUCUGCUUCCUAUUCUCCUCCUUGUCCUUGCCCAUACCAGGUAUUGGUUCACAUUCCUUGAACGCUGGGUUUUACACUCUCAUGUUGAGCUAAGAACUGGGGCCUUUUGGUUACACAAACUUGCCAGAAAAAAAAAAAAAAAAGGAACUGGGGGCUCCUGGCCAUAAGCCAGGUUCGUCAUUCUGUAUUCCAUUUGUCCUCUUGAACUCGAAGACCAACUCGAGCCGCUUAAAAUGUCCACUUCUUUAAGGCAGGGGCUGGGGGGUGGGGACGGGCUGCUAAUUCUCAUCAAUGAAAGGUCCAAAUAGAACAAAAAUUAGAUGGCUAAGAACCAGGAACAAGAAGAUUCCAGGUCCUGGGGUGGGUAUGCCAGGGACCCAUCCUGCUGGAAAGGCCGAUCCUGGCAGACCUAGAGCAGACCCUGUCUAUGCGACCCUCGAUCUGAGAGCCUCCUUCCAACAGAACCAGGGCCUGGGCUGGGGCAUCCACAGAGGCUGGUCAUAAACUAUACCUCCAGCCCCACCCUGCACACCAGCCGGGAGGGGAAGCUGCUAUAGCGCACGGUGAAGCUG
rnacentral:lncRNA from 1 species